CAAGCUACUAAGGGCACAUGGUGGAUGCCUUGGCAUGCUGAGCCGAUGAAGGACGUGAGAGACUGCGUUAUGCCUCGGGGAGUUGUCAACUAAGCGUUGAUCCGAGGAUGUCCGAAUGGGGAAACCCGGCCAUCGUUAUGGGUGGUCACCCUGCCAUGAAUUCAUAGUGGUAGUGGAGGUUUACGCGGGGAAGUGAAACAUCUCAGUACC
rnacentral:rRNA from 15 species